UACGGAGGAUCCGAGCGUUAUCCGGAAUUAUUGGGUUUAAAGGGUGCGUAGGCGGCACCUUAAGUCAGGGGUGAAAUACAGCGGCUCAACCGUUGCAGUGCCCUUGAUACUGAGGUGCUUGAAUGUGGCCGAAGGAGGCGGAACGGGACAAGUAGCGGUGAAAUGCAUAGAUAUGUCCCAGAACCCCGAUUGCGAAGGCAGCUUCCUAGACCGUUAUUGACGCUGAUGCACGAAAGCGUGGGGAU
rnacentral:rRNA from 1 species